UACGGAGGGUGCAAGCGUUGUCCGGAAUUAUUGGGCGUAAAGCGCUCGUAGGCGGUUUGUCGCGUCGAAUGUGAAAACCCGGGGCUCAACCCCGGGCCUGCAUUCGAUACGGGCAGACUAGAGUUCGGUAGGGGAGUCUGGAAUUCCUGGUGUAGCGGUGGAAUGCGCAGAUAUCAGGAGGAACACCGAUGGCGAAGGCAGGUCUCUGGGCAUUAACUGACGCUGAGGAGCGAAAGCGUGGGGAGCGAACAGG
rnacentral:rRNA from 1 species